rnacentral:rRNA from 1 species
GGUAUGUUAAUAGCAUACUCAUUUGACGUUAGCUGCAGAAGAAGCACCGGCUAACUCCGUGCCAGCAGCCGCGGUAAUACGGAGGGUGCGAGCGUUAAUCGGAAUUACUGGGCGUAAAGCGCAUGCAGGUGGUUUGUUAAGUCAGAUGUGAAAGCCCGGGGCUCAACCUCGGAAUUGCAUUUGAAACUGGCAAACUAGAGUACUGUAGAGGGGGUAGAAUUUCAGGUGUAGCGGUGAAAUGCGUAGAGAUCUGAAGGAAUACCGGUGGCGAAGGCGGCCCCCUGGACAGAUACUGACACUCAGAUGCGAAAGCGUGGGGAGCAAACAGGAUUAGAUACCCUGGUAG